UGGUUUUGGACCCGUGUCUGCCGGUAGAUCCCCCGUCUUUGUGCGGCCGACUACCGGCGCCGUGUCCCGUCGGUUCUGUCGCUUAUGUUACUGUUGCCUUUCAAGUGCUUGCGUGCUGGUACCCGAACUACGGGUAGUGGUGCUCAACACACGUUGCCUCGCGGUGGACACCUUCGGGUGUGCCGCUGCGGCCAAAUGGCGCUUGCGGCGUUGCCUCGUGGCACCGGCACGUUAACUCUGCCGGUGCUAUCAAGGAAACCUUGCUCCCGCUAUUGGUCUCGGAUGUUGCCUACGCUAAAGUCUCUUGGCCCGUUCGGUUGCCUUGACCCGACCCUAAGAAGCUCUCCGAAAAAUUGAGAACAACCGGAACAGGUGUUGCCUCUACCUCUCCACAGUUAGUGGUAGGAUUACGCAACAUUCUGCGCCGAUCCUCAAACUAGUAGGAUGAGCUUAGCCCGCUCAAUCGCGACAACCGGCCCGGCCGUUGCCUCUGCCUUGACACGCAAGUGGAUGGGCGGACAACUUCCGACGCUGGACGUCAAAGA
rnacentral:misc_RNA from 1 species